rnacentral:rRNA from 1 species
UACAGAGGGGGCAAGCGUUGUUCGGAAUCACUGGGCGUAAAGGGUGCGUAGGCGGGUUUUUAAGUCAGGGGUGAAAGCCCGGGGCUCAACUCCGGAAUUGCCUUUGAAACGGGAUCGCUUGAGUCCGAGAGAGGAUGGCGGAAUUCCUAGUGUAGAGGUGAAAUUCGUAGAUAUUAGGAAGAACACCGAUGGCGAAGGCAGGUCUCUGGGCAUUAACUGACGCUGAGGAGCGAAAGCAUGGGGAGCGAACAGG